GAGGGUAUAGCUCAAUGGUAGAGUGCAUGCUUCACCUGCAUGAGGUCCUGGGUUCAAACCCCAGAAUCUCCA
rnacentral:tRNA from 1 species